AGCGAACGCUGGCGGCAGGCUUAACACAUGCAAGUCGAGCGGGCACUUCGGUGUCAGCGGCAGACGGGUGAGUAACACGUGGGAACGUACCCUUUGGUUCGGAAUAACGCUGGGAAACUAGCGCUAAUACCGGAUACGCCCUUUUGGGGAAAGGCUUGCUGCCGAAGGAUCGGCCCGCGUCUGAUUAGCUAGUUGGUGGGGUAAUAGCCUACCAAGGCGACGAUCAGUAGCUGGUCUGAGAGGAUGAUCAGCCACACUGGGACUGAGACACGGCCCAGACUCCUACGGGAGGGAGCAGUGGGGAAUAUUGGACAAUGGGCGCAAGCGUGAUCCAGCCAUGCCGCGUGAGUGAUGAAGGCCUUAGGGUUGUAAAGCUCUUUUGUCCGGGACGAUAAUGACGGUACCGGAAGAAUAAGCCCCGGCUAACUUCGUG
rnacentral:rRNA from 1 species